GUCCCCCACACCUGCAAACGAGCCGGUGACACCCAGGGGCGCCAGCGGCUCAGCCCAUUCUCCCCGGACAACCCCAGAGGACCACUGGAAUAGUAUUCCAUAUGUUCCACGACUUACUGGUCACCUGUCAGUGGGGAUCUAGACUACAAAGCUUGAUUAAAAUGGAAACAGCUGGCUAUGAUUUCUCACCAAUCUUGGUGCCUACCUGGGAAAGCUUGCACAAUGGGAAAGCUCCAACCUGCAAACUGUGAUCAAGUGGAAAUGAAAAUUUUGUGACUACUAAAUUCAACAGUUAAUGAACUUGGUAAGAUGUUACCUUUGACAUUUAAUUUUUAUGGAUUUUGA